AGCUACUAGAGGACGCCCGUUCCAAUGGCAACUCUGCCAAGGCGCCUAUGAGAGCCUCUUGGCUUUUACCUGGUCUGCGAGAAAUCAAACUUUGGGCACAAGUCAUGAAGCCGACAAGCCCGGGAGACACAGUGUCAGAAUUACAAGGUGAGAUCAGCCGCCCGGCCAAGCUAUCUUCUCGCUAGCAGGUCUCGCAUCUGGGGCUCGAUCUCGUGCAGAGGAGCAUUUCCGAAGACACUGGCCGCUCCCACAAUGGCUCCGAAGAACCCAGCGACCAGCGGGUUCAUGAGUUUGUUGGGGCUGUCCACUCGGUACCAGCUGCGCAGGGAUGUCAGGACAAAGAAACAAGUUGCCUGGUUCCAGCCCUGCUUCAGCACGGGGCCUGUGGGGCCCCGGUAAGUCCCGGUGUUCCCGCACAAUCUCCUAACCCUGUGGAAGAAUCCCCUGUACUUGGAUUUGGAGAGGUCUGGCCAUGGAUUAACUUCACCUUGAUGGUCUCCAUGGGACAUAGGACCACCACGGCCUCGGCCACGCUAGCUCACUGGCCGCACCGCUGCCCGCCUUGCUGUUCACCAGUCCCUGGGCAUCCCGCAUCUGGUUGCUGAGGAACGCCUGACGCCGCCUUGUGGAUGAAGCCGCAGAGCAGGGAGCUGAGGCUGCGGCCCAGGCCCAGGCUGCCUUGGCUGCGACUGUGUGCCUGCAGGCCCCAUGCCCGGUAUCCGGUGGAUGCGAGUGCUAGUCCAGCUGCAGCUGCAUCUUCACGAACUCGGCUGGAGUGCAGUGGCGCGAUCUUGGCUCACUACAACCUGGAUUCAAGCGAUUCUCCUGCCUCAGCCUCCCGAGUAGCUGGGAUUACAGGCAUGUGCCACCAUUCCCGGCUAAUUUUUUUGUCUUUUUAGUAGAGACGGUGUUUCCCCAUGUUGGUCAGGCUGGUCUCAAACGCCUGACUCAGAUGAUCCGCCCGCCUCGGCCACCCAAAGUGCUGAGAUUACAGGCUUGAACCACCGCGCCUGGCCCUGUGAUGUAGAUUUUGAUGCUGCCAGCCAGGCUGCCUGCCGGGAUCGCCUGCCCUGGAGCAGGAGCAUCAGCCGUGCGUUCCAGGACGCAGGCAUGGCAUGACCGGCAGGAGGCGGAGUGCCCGGCGUCUCUUGGGAUCGGAGCCUCCUGAAUUCCACGCUGGGACCUUAAUUUGGUUUUAACACAAAUAAAGAUCUCACAUAAAGAUAAAA
rnacentral:lncRNA from 10 species